GCUCAAGAGGAAACACACGUCAGUCGCCCCCUUCGGUCUUCCUCCUUCAUUUCUCCUCGUCAAUCCACCUGCGGCCGGUUAACGGAGGUGCGUCCGCCGUUGCUGCUAUGGAAGUCCACUAGUCUUCUCCCUCUUCCAAGUUUUUAGUUGUCAAUCUUCUUUCCUCGCCAUCUGUUGUAGCGGCACCGCCAAAAGCUUUUUCCUUCUUUGUUCGAGCCAUCUUUGUCCUAUUGCCUAUGCUCAGUCUUCCAUUCUCCCUUCCUCUAGCUUGAUUUAGUGUAAGUGUGUUUGAAAGCUCUCUUCCUUCUUUUACGAUGCUCAUCCUUGUGUAUGUAUUUAGAAUUGUAGCAAAAAUUGAAAUUUUCCUCUCUAAUAUCUUGCUCUCUAAUCCUAUUUGAAGCUUGAAUUUGAUUGUUGCUAAGGUUUAAUCAAGCUGUGAUUUAAACUUUAAGGGUGUAUUUUGUUAGCUAGUUUCAUUUGGGUAUUUAUAAUCACUAUAAAAAAUAAAAUUAAUUAUUAUUAUUAAAAUUAGAGUUAUUUUCUUGUGGAACUUGGGUUUGAAAAUACAUGGAUAGGAGAUUUGAAGGUUUAGAAGCUUAAUUCAGUAAUUCGAAAGGUAAAUGCGUGUUAGGUGUUUGUAGAAAGGUUUAAAAGAGAAUUAUAUUUUAAUAAUAUAAUUAGUUGGGUUAAGAUGAUAUGACAAAAUUGGAGACUAAAAGAUCAUGAAGAAUGCACUUUGACUUGUUUAAAUAGAUUAUGGUUAUAUUACUGUAGCAAGAAAGUUUGUUUAAUUUGUAGAAAAUAUGUUAAAAUUCUAUUAUAUUUGAUAGGAUCAUUAGAAGAAGAAAAAAAAAUGAUUGAAGUUGUAAAAAGGAAAUUUUGAAACUGGAUGAUGCAUUAGAUAAGUAAAUAAUGUUUCUCAAUAAUUAGAAGUAAUGGUCUUUUUCUUAUUUUAUUUUUCAUUUAUUCUAAAUAAAUUUUCCUAUUAUACCUUUAUAAUUAAGUUGAUUUAAAAUAUAUAUCAUGUAUAUUAUUUAAGUUUAUUUAUGCAAUUAUUUUUAGGGUAUUUUGUUUUUCUCAAAAGUAUAAUACAUAUAUGGGCUAGAUAAAUUACUGAUGAAAAAAUCAUUUAUACUUUACAAAUUAAAAGGUAAUUUGAACUAUAAGGAUUUUUAGACUCAAUGCAUACUAGAAAUAUUUUAUGGGAUUGAAUAUAAAAUGUUAGUUGCUAAUGAUAUUUUUGUUAGCCCUUGGUGUGCUAUGGCACACUUAGCUAGCAAAGUACAUUGGAGGUGCUAACCCUAUGUGUCAGCCAAAACGUGUGGAAGAGAAGAUGGGAUUUGUGGAUAUAAUUCACGCUUGUUAUUGACGCAGAACGAGAAGGAAAAGGUAAGAGGCAGAGUAGCAUCGUACAUAGAAGAAGAAAAUGCACAGAACAAAAGGAGGCCACACACGCAAGACUGAGGAAGUCAGAUGUCACACGCAGAAAAAACAGAGUCAGACGCCGAAAACGCAAAGAAAUAGAGAUGAAGAAAGAGAGACAGAGAACGAGAGAGAGGAGCAGAACGCGCGAACAAAUACUAGAGUCACAGGCACAGAAGGAGAGUCACACAGAAAUGAAACCAGAGCAGAAGGAAAAUGGCCUUCGCCGGCACAUCAGAAGGAAGAAAGAAGAGUCACGUAGAAAUGAAAACUAAAGCCAGAGAAGAGAGAGCUUUUGGCACACGCGCAGAAAUGCAGCGGAAGAGAAGGAAAAAGCAAGAAGCAGAGCAGGUGAGUAAUCAUGCAUCCCUUCUAUUCUCUAUAUAUGGCUGAAAAAAAGAGAAAGGAGGAGGGGGGACGAGCUUUUCUUUCUCGGGCUUUUCUGGCUGGAAAAAAAAUAGAGAAACAGAAAGGGGAAGACGACCGAGAGAUUGAGGGACGAGUGUUUUUUUUUUUUUUUUUGGAAAAAAGAGACUGGGAGAGGAGGAGGAAGAGACCGAGAGAGAGGAGUUUUUUUUUUCCCUGAAAAAAAAAGAGAUUGGGAAAGGAAAGAAACUGAGGCAGAGAUCAGGGAGGAGGUUGCUAAAAAAAAAAAUCAAAGAUUCUUGGUCAGAAACGGUGAGAUAGAUUUGGGAUAUUGAGAGGAAGAAGACGUGUUACACACAGGUUCUCUAACAUGCUUGCUUCUGAAUUUGGAAUGUUUACAUUUAAUCUCAGUUCAUUAUUUCCAAACGAAUUUCAUGUUUAAAUAUCUAUAAGCUUUGAUCAGUAUUGGGGACCAUGAAAAAUUCUGAACAAGAGGUUGACAUAUGCCUGUGAUUGAUCGUUUAGAUGCUUGCAUUUCGUUAGAAGUUUUGGAUAUCUCUGGUUUUAUUUGGUGUAUCUAGAAGUGUUCUCACGUAUGAACACUGUAAAAUUUUUACAUAUGUUCUUGUAUGGCUUGAUAGUUGCGAUCAUAUUUCUUUAGGCCAUUCAAAAAUUGCUAUAGUUGCUAUUCUGAUGUGAUGUAUACUCUUUGAAAUA